rnacentral:lncRNA from 1 species
AUAAAACCCUCAAGUAAUUGGAUGGAAUUUCUAUGUGCCUCUUCCCAGCAAGCAUCCCUUACCCUUUUGGGGGAGACAUGGCUAUAUGUCAGGCCUGUGAGAACCCAAUGCAGGAACAGCAUGUGAUAUGAAAAUGGAAACUGUCAGAUUGAAACCAUACAUGGCGAAGUCAAAAAGAGACUCUUUCUUGCACUGUUUCAGAGGAUAAUACUGGAGGCUGCCAUGGGAGAAGUCUGCACAAAAAGAGCAAGUUUAAGAGCUUCAGGAGUCAUAAAUGGCUUGAGAAGAUUAUGCUAGAGAUUGAAGCAGAUGGAAGAUUCUAGAAACAGAAAGCAUUCUUUUCAUUGGUGUGAGUCUUGAAUAUAAAUGGAAAUCAGAGGUCUGUAAUAGCAGGCCAGUGUGGAUAAGGCAGUAAGGUUUUGAGUCUGAGGAGAUGGCUGGGGGCAGUUUGUAGACUUAUUGUCAGUCCAGUGUAGAAUUUGAGAAUAUAGCCAGGGCUUAAGGUUCCAGUUUCAAAUUAAAGACAAAAGAAAUCAGCAAUACCAAAAUGAA